UCUCAUUUCUUUUCUCCUUCCCCGUGAAAACCCAUUUCACCCAAAACCCCAAACCCCAAUGUUUUCUCUCUCUUUCUCGUGUCCUGCUCGGUGCUCCACCGACGAAUAUAUUGCCGGAUUUAUGCUGCCGUCGUCGCGCAAUAGCUCGUCAGCCCCUCCUCAACCCCUCUAUGUUCUUGGCUCUGUUCUUCGCUGCUCUUGUGAGUAGAGGUACAUAAUCGUUUCGGAAGUCAAAUAAAAGGAAAUUGGCCUUUGGUGAAUUAAUGGAAUAAACCCAUUAAUGUAAAUAAGGAAAAAGAAGUAAGAGAACAAAGAAAACCCUUUUUUUUGGACCAAAUCCCACGCAGCAACAAGGUGAAAAAAUAAGAAUUUGGGCUUGCAUUCAAAAUCCACACUACAACAAAGAAGAAAAGGGAGUUGAUGGAUUUUUGUUUUUGGUGGGCUGAGAGGAACGCAUCAGAGGGUUUGGAAGGGGUUGAGUUAUAGAGCACAACAUCAAUAAAAAGGCAGGAAGGAGGAGACCAACGGGGGGGAGUAGUUCGACGAAGGCAGAGCACAAAGAAGGGUGCAAUCUGAUUUUUCGACCAUGGCUGCUUAUAAUUGGGUGAUGUUCUCUUCAAUUAUGAGUAGCUAAUUUCUUAAUUCUAGGGCUUAGAUGAAACCCUUAUAAUAUGAAUUGAUAGUUUAAUUGUGUUUGAGAAUUGAUUUUGGUUUAUGAUUGCAUAACUAUUAAGAUUAUUAUUGGGUUUAUCAUUGUUUGCAACAUAGAUUGGUAGUUGUUCUUGUAGAA